AUUGAACGCUGGCGGCAUGCCUAACACAUGCAAGUAGAACGAGUGGCGGACGGGUGAGUAAUGUAUGGGAAAUUGCCGAAUGGUGGGGGAUAACUACUGGAAAGGGCAGAUAAUACCGCAUAACAUUAGAUGGGCCACUAUGGGCUUAGCUUGUUGGUGGGGUAAAGGCUCACCAAGGCGACUAUCACUAGCUGGUCUGAGAGGAUGACCAGCCACACUGGAACUGAGACACGGUCCGGACUCCUACGGGAGGCAGCAGGGGGGAAUAUUGGACAAUGGGCGAAAGCCGGAUGCAGCCAUGCCGCGUGUAGGAAGAAGUCCUUCGGGUUGUAAAGUACUUUCAGCGGUGAGGCGGUACCCGAAGAAUAAGCACCGGCUAACUCCGUGCCAGCAGCCGCGGUAAUUC
rnacentral:rRNA from 1 species